UACGUAGGUCCCGAGCGUUGUCCGGAUUUAUUGGGCGUAAAGCGAGCGCAGGUGGUUUAUUAAGUCUGGUGUAAAAGGCAGUGGCUCAACCAUUGUAUGCAUUGGAAACUGGUAGACUUGAGUGCAGGAGAGGAGAGUGGAAUUCCAUGUGUAGCGGUGAAAUGCGUAGAUAUAUGGAAGAACACCAGUGGCGAAAGCGGCUCUCUGGUCUGUAACUGACGCUGAGGUUCGAAAGCGUGGGGAUCGAACAGG
rnacentral:rRNA from 1 species